GACGAACGCUGGCGGCGUGCUUAACACAUGCAAGUCGAACGAAGAGCGAUGGAAGCUUGCUUCUAUCACUCUUAGUGGCGAACGGGUGAGUAACGCGUAAUCAACCUGCCCUUCAGAGGGGGACAACAGUUGGAAACGACUGCUAAUACCGCAUACGAUCUAAUCUCGGCAUCGAGGAUAGAUGAAAGGUGGCCUCUACAUGUAAGCUAUCACUGAAGGAGGGGAUUGCGUCUGAUUAGCUAGUUGGAGGGGUAACGGCCCACCAAGGCGAUGAUCAGUAGCCGGUCUGAGAGGAUGAACGGCCACAUUGGGACUGAGACACGGCCCAGACUCCUACGGGAGGCAGCAGUGGGGAAUCUUCCGCAAUGGACGAAAGUCUGACGGAGCAACGCCGCGUGGGUGAUGACGGCCUUCGGGUUGUAAAGCUCUGUUAAUCGGGACGAAAGGCCUUCUUGCGAAUAGUGAGAAGGAUUGACGGUACCGGAAUAGAAAGCCACGGCUAACUACGUG
rnacentral:rRNA from 1 species